rnacentral:rRNA from 1 species
UACGUAGGGCGCAAGCGUUGUCCGGAUUCACUGGGUGUAAAGGGUGCGCAGGCGGACUGGCAAGUCAGGGGUGAAAUCUCACAGCUCAACUGUGAAACUGCCUUUGAUACUGCUGGUCUUGAGUCAGGGAGAGGUUGAUGGAAUUCCAGGUGUAGCGGUGAAAUGCGUAGAUAUCUGGAAGAACACCGGUGGCGAAGGCGGUCAACUGGCCCUUACCUGACGCUGAGGCGCGAAAGCUAGGGGAGCGAACAGG